GUUGCAGCAAACGGGCCUCCCCUGGCCCUAUUAAUAAGGUGUUAAUACUGUUAAUAAAGAUAGAGAAUUUAAAAUGCCAUUAAAAAGGUUUAUUUCUUUUGGUGGCCACAAUACCCGUUUUUGACCAGAAGAGGGCACACUUUCCCGUCUCAUAGCUUUAGCUUGGAGUCCAUGGUAGGCUUUUUUUAAUGGCCUCCAUCCUAUAGCCAAGGGACAGAAAACUCUGUCAAAUCAGAUACUGCAGCCACAAAAAUAAAUAAACCUCUUUAAUGGCGUUUUAAGAUGAUGAUUAUUCUUUAUUAUUAAAACCUUAUUAAUAUUAAUAAGCCACGAUAGGCUCAUUCCCCUCCCCUACUACACUUGACUUGCAAUCACGGUCUACAGGCCAUGUGGCAAAGUACCACAAGUGGUACACAUACCACUGGUUGAAAAGCCCUGCUCUAUAAUUAUUAAUAUCAAGGCUUCUAAUAAUACAGAUGCAAAAGAAUAACCUCAAAAUCCCGACUGUUCUGUUCCCUGAACCUGUCUUGCCCUCUCCGGCUGUAAAACGGGGCCCAGGGGCCAUUUUACAAAUGCAGAUGGGGCAACUAAGCCUGAGAAAGAAUCCCUGAAAUUUAUGUUUCCAACAUAUGAACUGUAUCUCUAUGUUCCCAAUUUGGCCUCUUGUUUUUCUCCCUCUGAAGUGGAAAGGGCACAAAGAGACCCAGCCUCCUAGUCUCUCGUACCGGCAUCCAGCCGCCUGCUUAGGGACAGGAAGUCGGCCAUGCCGAGAAGGUCGUUCUGAAUGGAAGUGGAAGGACGGCCACAGAAACGGACAGGAAGUUGGCCAUCCCGGGGAGGUCGGUGUGUAAGACAGUGGAGGACUACUGCGCAUGUGUGACUGGAAGUUGGCAGGCCCUAGGAGUAGGUAACCCAAAACACUCGAAGAGCCACUUGGACCCAUUUACAACCGAAAACAUCUUUUAUGACUCAUGGACUUCUACUCCCAGAAUUCCUGAGUCAGCAUAGCUGGGCUAGCUAGCUCUCUCCUGCCCUUCCUGCUUCCUGCAGAGACGCAGCAAAAGGAGGAGUGCCAUCCAGUAAGCUUUUUAGCUCGUCGGAGAACACUGUCAUUUUGGAUUCGUGCCUUGAAAGUCAACAUUACUUCAGUUGGAACUGGGGUUUUACUCC